rnacentral:rRNA from 1 species
ACACAUGCAAGUCGAACGAAGCCUUCGGGCUUAGUGGCGCACGGGUGCGUAACGCGUGGGAACCUGCCUUUAGGUUCGGAAUAACAGUUAGAAAUGACUGCUAAUACCGGAUGAUGUCUUCGGACCAAAGAUUUAUCGCCUUUAGAUGGGCCCGCGUUGGAUUAGAUAGUUGGUGGGGUAAUGGCCUACCAAGUCGACGAUCCAUAGCUGGUCUGAGAGGAUGAUCAGCCACACUGGGACUGAGACACGGCCCAGACUCCUACGGGAGGCAGCAGUGGGGAAUAUUGGACAAUGGGCGAAAGCCUGAUCCAGCAAUGCCGCGUGAGUGAUGAAGGCCUUAGGGUUGUAAAGCUCUUUUACCAGGGAUGAUAAUGACAGUACCUGGAGAAUAAGCUCCGGCUAACUCCGUGCCAGCAGCCGCGGUAAUACGGAGGGAGCUAGCGUUGUUCGGAAUUACUGGGCGUAAAGCGCGCGUAGGCGGCUUUUCAAGUCAGGGGUGAAAUCCCGGGGCUCAACCCCGGAACUGCCCUUGAAACUGGAUGGCUAGAAUACUGGAGAGGUGAGUGGAAUUCCGAGUGUAGAGGUGAAAUUCGUAGAUAUUCGGAAGAACACCAGUGGCGAAGGCGACUCACUGGACAGUUAUUGACGCUGAGGUGCGAA